rnacentral:lncRNA from 1 species
GCAACCCCAUAGGAAGAGCAACAACAUCAGCAAACCAUACAGCCUAGAACUCCCAGGGACUAAACCACCAUCUAAAGAGUACAAAUGGGCAGACAUAUGGCUCCAGCUGCAUAGCCACUGGGACACACUGGAAGAAGGAAAACCAACAGUAUUCAGGGACAGAAGCAAAGGGUCAGUGUGGAUAUAUAUCCAUGAUGGAAAAAGCUGUGCUUUUAUUCCUGAUGAGAGGUGGCUGAAGAGUUUCAUCAUCCCCCACGUUACUACACUGGUGAACACCAUGUCUCCUGGAUGCUGCCGUGCUUCCCGCCAUGACGAUAAUGGACUGAACCCCUGAAACUAGUUGGCAUGUUACCUUGGUAUUUCUACCCGUAAGAUUGUUAUCCCUACCACCCUCUUCUCCUUACUUGCUCUGCUGUUCACUCAUAUCUUGGCGAGUACUCACACCCUGGGCAUGCCCUCCGUGACUUCCAUGACUCUGAUAUCUGUCUACUGAAGAGCAACCUUUAGCCAGGUUCUGUUUGAGAAGAGGUGAGCAGACAUCCAAGGAGCAAUGGCAUUUCCAAGAAGAGUUAUGAUUAGAUAAUUUUAGAUUAUGAGAAACCAUGCUGUCGAUAAACCUCAGCUUUAUUGUUCCGACUUUUUUCAACACUCAUCUACUGCUGUCCUUGAACAAUUUUCUGAACAAUAUAUCAAAUCAAAUUU